UACGAAGGGGGCUAGCGUUGCUCGGAAUCACUGGGCGUAAAGAGCUCGUAGGUGGUUCGGUAAGUCGGGUGUUAAACCCCCAGGCUCAACCUGGGGACGCCACUCGAUACUGCUGUGACUUGAGUCCGGUAGGGGAGCGUGGAAUUCCUGGUGUAGCGGUGAAAUGCGCAGAUAUCAGGAGGAACACCAGCGGCGAAGGCGGCGCUCUGGGCCGGUACUGACACUGAGGAGCGAAAGCGUGGGUAGCAAACAGG
rnacentral:rRNA from 1 species